UACGGAGGGAGCUAGCGUUGUUCGGAUAUACUGGGCGUAAAGCGCACGUAGGCGGCGCCGUAAGUCAGGGGUGAAAUCCCGGGGCUCAACCCUGGAACUGCCCUUGAAACUGCAGUGCUAGAAUCUUGGAGAGGCGAGUGGAAUUCCGAGUGUAGAGGUGAAAUUCGUAGAUAUUCGGAAGAACACCAGUGGCGAAGGCGACUCGCUGGACAAGUAUUGACGCUGAGGUGCGAAAGCGUGGGGAGCAAACAGG
rnacentral:rRNA from 1 species